GUUAUACGGGUCGGGUUUCUGUUUUGAUGAAAAGUUGGCCCAGGAUCUAUUGAGCCAUGAAUCAUCCAUGAUCAUUUUGAGGCUUUUACUUUGUUCACCUAGCAUUUUGCUUGUGCACCCAUCAUAUUUUCGAAAUUCCAGAAAUACCCCUUCUUAUUUCUUCUUCCUCCUUUUGCCUUCUUCACUCAUUCAUUCUGUUGCUUUUGCUUUGUGCUCAUUCAUUCUCGUGAGAGGAGAGGUCCUUCGUUGUUGUGUCCACUUUGGUCGAGGUGCAAGUGUUACGGUGAUUCGUCAGCAAGUGAUGGUUGUGGUGGUGGUUGGUUUGGCUGUUAACAGCGAAGGUAAAGUACUUCUCUUUGAUCUACUUCUUUUUUGCAUAUAUAAUUUAUGGAUUGAUAAUCCAUAAGUUUUAUGGAUUGACAAUCCGUAAGAAACAUAUGGAUUGUCAAUCCGUUAGUUCUAUUUUUAUUUAACUUUUUUAAACAUUUGUUUUAUUGUUUUUUAAAACUAAUUACUAUUAUUAUUUAAAAUAUUUUUAAAUACGUAUAGUUUCAUAAUUUAUUUAUACCUUUUAGGGGUUGUUUGUUUGUCAUUGAAUUUUUUUCAUGUUUUGUUAAGAUGGACGAAAAUCAGUGGAUGCAUGACAUUAUAAUGUCAGAAGAAGUUAAUAUGAAUGAAAAAAGUGAAGAAAAUGAAGAGGAACCUGAUCUACAUCAAUACGUUGAUUGUUCUGAUGCCUUCAAUACUUCUUAGGUAUUAAUAUGAUUUAUUGUUAUUAAAGUAAGUAAAUGAAUGUCCCUUGAAGACUAAACUUGUAUGGAUUGCAUUGUAGGUGUUUGUUACUGUCGCAACCUACCAUUCAACGGGAGGGCGAUGCAAGACUCGAGGGUGUGUCUUCCAAGAAGGAAAACACGUGAGAGUCGUCACCAAUGUUUAUUUGAGCAAAACAUUAAAAAAACCAAAGAGGGUCUGCGAAUUUGAAGAAUAAGGGUUCGGGAGUUAUUUACGUGUGGGGAAGGUAUUAGCAUCUCACGCGUCCGUCACAAGGGACGACAACCUUUAAUCGAGUGUGCAAAAUCAUGACUUCAGUAUUAUUUAUCUUCCCUUUUUAUGUUCCUUUAUUUUUUUGGGGUCGACAAAGGGUGUUGCCUUUGCUCUUACGUAUUCUCAAGUGUGAUGAGGAAUUCAGACCUAUGUAGUUCUUUAAAAGCGAGAAAGUUGUGUGUCGAGUUGAUUUUAAACUUUUGAAAGGUUUGUUUUAACCAACAAGAAUGGAAGAGACCGUUAAGGCUUUGAACCUUGAACGAAUUCAAG
rnacentral:lncRNA from 1 species